GACGCAACCCUACUUGUUAGUUUGGCCACUCAUUCAGUUAGGGCACUCUAGCGAGACUGCCGGUAAUAAACCGGAGGAAGGUGGGGAUGACGUCAAAUCAUCAUGCCCCUUAUGACCUGGGCUACACACGUGCUACAAUGGUUGGUACAACGAGUUGCGAGUCGGUGACGGCGAGCUAAUCUCUUAAAGCCAAUCUCAGUUCGGAUUGUAGGCUGCAACUCGCCUACAUGAAGUCGGAAUCGCUAGUAAUCGCGGAUCAGCACGCCGCGGUGAAUACGUUCCCGGGCCUU
rnacentral:rRNA from 1 species